GACGUAGGAGGCGAGCGUUGUCCGGAUUCAUUGGGCGUAAAGCGCACGUAGGCGGCUUAGCAAGUCGGAUGUGAAAUCCCUCGGCUCAACCAAGGAAGUGCAUCCGAAACUGCUGAGCUUGAGUACGAAAGAGGAUCGCGGAAUUCCCGGUGUAGAGGUGAAAUUCGUAGAUAUCGGGAGGAACACCAGUGGCGAAGGCGGCGAUCUGGGUCGAUACUGACGCUGAGGUGCGAAAGCGUGGGGAGCAAACAGG
rnacentral:rRNA from 1 species